GCCGGUCUUGAUGACAAGCACAUCCGUCGUCUGGAACACGACGAAUUCGAAGCUGAAAUCGGUGGUCAGGUCGUUGCCGUCGAACGGCCCC
rnacentral:tRNA from 1 species